CGCCCUCACCCACCCGCCGCAGCCGCGCGCCGAAACGCUUCGUUUGGCCGCUCCGUGUUAUAAAACAGCGCAGAUGGAAAAACAAACUCAGAAGCCAGGCACUGAAGAGAGAAAAUGAAGGAAAUACUUCAAGUGUUGUCUGACUGCCAAUGGGAAACGUGCAGUGGCAAUGACCUGCUGCAAAACAACGGGCACUGCCUGGAAGUGGAAGAACAAGACAGGACAGAUAAACGGGACAAACAGAAUUCUUAUGAAGCAGCACGUCUGAAGUGGUUGGAUCCUGGUCUGCAGCAGCAUUCUUGGGCAUUGAAACUGGCCAUUGAUCCCGUGCAAUUGUACCUGCCACACACUAACAAUUGCCUGUCAUGAUUCUGGAGUCAUGUGGCCCAGACGUCCUCCUGGUUUUUCAAUACCAUGUUUUCUCUUCAAGAGAGAUUAUCAGUAGUGAUAGGAGAAAUUCCAUUACAUAGGCCAAAGAGUGGUCAUUAGCUUGUUAAUUCAGGCACUCACUUUGCUGAGGUUGAUCAAUAAAACAUAGCUGGGGAGAAAGCAAAAGCCCUGGGCACACUCCCACCCCUGAGUAAGAGAAAAGCUGUUUCUUUGGGACCAAAUGUAGAUGAAGUGAGAACAUCUUUCAGAGACUGAAUCUUGGUUUAACAAGCAUACUAGAUAUACAUCUUCUGAUCUUUCUCAUCUUCUUGUGAUGUAUAAAGAUGAUUGAGAUUUAAAAUUGAAGAAUUAAACAGCAUAAUGAAAAGAGAGAAUUAAAACCAGAGCCUGAAUGAUCCCGUGACAAAGGACAGAUGUAGAAGAGGACAGACUGCGAAAGUCCUCUUUUUAACCUUUUCAAGAAGUUAAAAAGCAUAAUUUUACUUGGAUGCUUCCAAGAUGAUGCAUACAUUUAAUUAUGGAUGCUGGUAACAUCAAAACAUGACAGCAAAACAUGACAAUGCUGGCGCU
ensembl:lncRNA